rnacentral:rRNA from 1 species
AACGAACGCUGGCGGCAUGCCUAACACAUGCCAGUCGAACGAGACCUUCGGGUCUAGUGGCGCACGGGUGCGUAACGCGUGGGAACCUGCCCUUAGGUUCGGAAUAACUCCCCGAAAGGGGUGCUAAUACCGGAUAAUUUCUUCGGACCAAAGAUUUAUCCCCUUUGGAUGGGCCCGCGUUGGAUUAGCUAGUUGGUAGGGUAAAAGCCUACCAAGGCGACGAUCCAUAGCUGGUCUGAGAGGAUGAUCAGCCACACUGGGACUGAGACACGGCCCAGACUCCUACGGGAGGCAGCAGUGGGGAAUAUUGGACAAUGGGCGAAAGCCUGAUCCAGCAAUGCCGCGUGAGUGAUGAAGGCCUUAGGGUUGUAAAGCUCUUUUACCCGGGAUGAUAAUGACAGUACCGGGAGAAUAAGCUCCGGCUAACUCCGUG